CAGGUGAUGCAUUAAUUGUAUCUGUGUGCUUCCUGCAUUUUAUUCCCACCAACAGGCCUCUAGGAGAAUACUCCUGUCCCCUCACAGGGUGUGAGCAGCUCCUCCGGGUUCCUGCUGGAGGUGGCGGUACUUCCAGUUCUGCCAGUGACAGGUAUGCACAGAAGGAGGAGAGGCAGGCUGGGAGCAGAGCCUGUGGGAGGUGCCUGCCGACGCACAGGUGGCACUGCCCAAACAGAACUAGAACUUCAGGUCUGCGCCCAGAAGGGGUCUUGGCUGUGUCUGGACACUUGUGGCUCAUCUGUGAAGAUGAAAUGGAGGUGGAAUGUGUGAAUAUGUUCAACCAGGGAAAGCGAAUAGACUGAAAUGUGGAAACCACGAUGGGAAACAAUUUAAACACAGGCUGUCGAAGAAGGCAGGAUGGGGAUGCCUGGGAAGGGGCCAAGAAGCCAGGGAAUCAUGGUGGCACGCUGCUGCAGAAUUCAGAAGAUGAGAGAAUUUCCAACUGGAGCAAAUGUCCAACAAUGCUUGUGAUUGUUUCAUCUUUGUAACACAGGGAUGGAGAAGGGCCCGGUAGUGAAGAUGGGAGAAAUUUCCAGAAACUUCUAGAAGUUGGGAACCCUUCCUUGUGGAAAAGACAGUCUUCAAGAGUAUAGAUUGAAGCUAGAUGAGACAGAAGCAAAGGCCCCAUCACAAGCUGAGUCCCCAGGAUGGUUUCAGAGUACUACCAAGCUUAGAGUCUCUCCAGCCACAAUGGAAGACAAUGGGAAUUGGGAUGACGUAGAUGUCCAGGUUGCACAGUCCAGAACCAGCUUCGCUCCAGGAAGGGGAACCAGCAAAAUUUGGAUGCUGCAGCUACUCUCUUCUGAAAACUAGGGACCUGGAAGAUGAGAACUUCUCAUUUGCCAAAUCAGGUUCCCUUACAGGUUAAGAAUUCAUGGUGAUAAAAUGGAACUUUCUGCUUGAAGCAGCACCAUUUGAACUGCUGGCCAAAGUGGCAACCAGAAGGGAAAUAUUGCCCAUGAACCAGCAGCCCCCAGACUGCUCAGUCUGAAAGCAACGCAGAAUUUCACAGUCACUCUGCACCUAAGGAGCCCUGGGUACCAAGAUCCAAACACCCAGGGCUACCAUCGACCUGCGUCCCGGGGGUUGAUUCUCACUGAUUCCAUCUUGAAGCAUAAGAGUAUGUUCACUGAGGGGGGGACUUGACGGGAUGAGCACAGGGUGUUUGUUAUAUGUUGGCAAA